rnacentral:rRNA from 1 species
UGUAGCACCCCCUAUUACAGGUACACCCUGCCCAGUGUUAUUAUCAACGGCCGCGGUACCCUGACCGUGCAAAGGUAGCAUAAUAAUUUGCCUUUUAAUUGAAGGCUAGUAUGAAAGGGCAAACGAGAAUAAGACUGUCUCACUCAUACCUAUAAAAAUUUAUCUCCAGGUGAAGAAGCCUGGAUUAAUAUAAAAGACAAGAAGACCCUGUCGAGCUUUAGCAUAACAUAUGAGCUUACUCCAUCUACACCAUUCCUCACAUCCAAGCUUUUGUUGGGGCGACAACGGAACCCAUCAAUCUUCCGUGAUACUUCAGACCUUACGUCACCUAAAUGAUCCUUUACUGAUCACAAGAUCCAGCUACCGCAGGGAUAACAGACUAAUCUUCCUUCGGAGCCCAAAUCUACAGGAAGGCUUGGCACCUCGAUGUUGGCUUAGGAAAAUCCCCUAGAUGAAGCAGUCUAGGAAGUGGGUUUGUUCAACCCUUAAUAUCCUACG